CGCUCGGCGGCCCGUGGUGAUCUGUGGUGAUCUGUGGUGAUCGAGUAACGGGGCCGGUGUGACCGGCCUCCUGUUGCCCUGUAGACGGGCUCGUUAUCCGGUGCGCAGCGCCAAUUCACACACCGAGUCGAGAACGGUUGGUCCUAGGAAAGAUCACAGAAGAAGUCAUCCUUGGAAGACGUACACGCUAGUUUCGUAAUCUGUGAGGUAUUUACAGGGUGGAGACACUGUUUCCUUAGUAACUUCAGUAGAGAAGCUAUUUGAAAACAUUGGGGUUUAGUUUCUCAUGACCUGCCAGCAAGAAGACUGGAGGGGCACAAGAAACUGGAGGGGACACAGCCAGGACAACUGACCUGAACUAGCUAAAGCCAAAGGAAUAUUCCAUACCAUAGAAUGUCACGCUCAGUAACUGGGGAGAGUUGGCCAGGGCCUGCUGAUUGCUGCUCAGGGACUGGCUGGGCAUUGGUCAGGAGGUGCCACAUUAGACAGAGAAAGAGCCUUCUGAAGGAAAAGUGUCCUAAGAAUCUGCAAUCUUAACCUGUGAGAGAUCAACUGUGCUUGAGCAGAGGACAAGGCAUUUGGAUCUAUGCUUCUGGAUUCUUAAAUACCAAUCUUUCAAACACAGCAUUGGAAGACAAGGAGGAGGAAGAAACUCUGAAGUUUUUCAGUAUCUGGGCAUAGCAGCAAAUGAGGAUGCUAAGGGGAAUCAAGAGACCUAAGAUAUUGGCUGCAAACUGAGAGGCUACCUUCCAGGUGUUGUUGUCUGGGGGGUAUGUGGUGACACAGUGGACAGACUGCU